rnacentral:tRNA from 1 species
CCGACCUUAGCUCAGUUGGUAGAGCGGAGGACUGUAGUGCUGCAGAUUUGAUCCUUAGGUCGCUGGUUCGAAUCCGGCAGGUCGGA